UGGGGUAUCGCCAAGCGGUAAGGCACCGGAUUCUGAUUCCGGCAUUCCGGAGGUUCGAAUCCUCGUACCCCAC
rnacentral:tRNA from 1 species